rnacentral:lncRNA from 12 species
UAGCAUUAUAAACAGCAAACACUGGUUUUUAGAGGGCAUUUCCUCGGCAUCAUGGUGGAAGAGAUUUUUAGACACAAAAAUGUUUAUGGGAGAAUGAGAUGGUACAAGUGUUUGCAGGGCAGCAGAAGCUGCAGUGGCACCAUGCCUGUGUCUAGCUGGUAUCAGGUGAGGCAGAUACCUGCUUGCCCUCGGCUGCCUGCAAAGGACACUACAGCUUGCUCUGCAAGUGAAGGUGGCCCAAAACAGAGAGAUGAGUGGAUGUGUGCUGGGUCAGCUUCACACCAGAACAACAUGUCUCACAGCAAAAGACCUGAGGGUAAAGGCUACCUUAUCUACUUCUCCUUUGCUGAACUGUCCCAACAGGACAUGGCCUUGUUUUCUUUUUCUACCUGGAGCAGUUUUGUGUACACCAAUCAGACUUCUACUCCCCUUUUGGGAAAGCACCUUCUCUUACUUUGUACCUCUGUCAUUCCAUGAAACACUUUUUUCCCUGCCCAUACAUUUAUCCCAUUACAUCGAAUCUUAUCCCACAUGAGCCCCACUUGGUGUUUAUAGCCUUCAAAUAUCUGCAGAGAGUUAUCAUAUCCUCCUCCUUUAGUCAUUAUUUGGAAAAGUUGUUUAUGCUGAAUUCUUUCAGACUUUCCUCAUCCAGGUGUUCCCUCCCACCUUUCAUCUGAUGUGGUGCUCUCUGAAAGCCUUCAGCCUGCCUGAAUGACCCCAGGCCUGGGGUUACAGUAAGGAUGGCAGCAGCCGUGCUGCAGCUCCAGCACACCCCACUCUGCACUAUGAUACCUCAGCGGGCAGCCCCAAAUCACAUGGAUCUGUCCUGGCCCAGAGUGCAGCAGUGCUAAUCAAUGUUCCUGCUUUCCAGAUUUUUUUUGUCCUACUGAGCAGUAGUGUUUCAGACUAUUUCCCCAUAUAUAUCAACUUUGGUCUUCCCAGGCACAGUCUAAUUUGAUUAUUUCCUGCACAUAUUUCCAGCCUCUUCAGCUUCCCCCAUAUUAUUGCUACAUCCUCCCUCAUUUGCUUUUGACUGCUUGGGCCAAAUUACAACGAAAGCAGAUAUAAGCCAGGAUGUGUAUCUAGGUAUCCUCCCUCAUUUGCUUUUGACUGCUUAGGCCAAAUUACAACAAAAGCAGAUAUAAGCCAGGAUGUGUAUCUAGGCUCUCUGCCAGCUAAUUUGCAAAGAAAUCACCCAGGCCAUAAGAUCCCGCCUCUCACAAGUCAUAGUGACAAAACGUGAGUUAACAAAUAGUUUUGCUUUUUCCAGCUGACCUGGUUACGUGGGCAAAAUCAGCAGCAGUCACCAGCUGACCCAAUGCAGUCACAGGGGCUUCAAGGUUUCCAUCUCCUACAGUGACUUGCAAGGUGCCCUUAUGUCCUCAGGGGAGAUAAUCAGGUAUUAUUUACAAGCAAUUAUUUGAGGUUAGACACAACAAUGGACGUGUCCUGAUUUUCAGAUGCCAAGUGCUUAUAGUUUCAAUCAGAGGUUUUGGCCACUGUGCUACCUAAGGAAUGAAGUUCUGGGCAUGAUUUGAGCAAGAGUGGAAAAGUUCACCACCUUUGAAUUUCACCUUUGAAAUUGCUUUUGUGUUGGUGAAUGAAUCUUAGCAAUUUGGGAAUUGUUUGCAUGUGUGUGUGCAUAUGUGUGUGUGUGUGUGUGUGUUUUAGCUUUGGAAGCAGAGACAGGCAGAGGAG